rnacentral:rRNA from 1 species
ACAGUCCAGAGAAUUUAGCAGAGAUGCUUUAGUGCCUUCGGGAACUCUGAGACAGGUGCUGCAUGGCUGUCGUCAGCUCGUGUUGUGAAAUGUUGGGUUAAGUCCCGNAACGAGCGCAACCCUUAUCCUUUGUUGCCAGCACGUAAUGGUGGGAACUCAAAGGAGACUGCCGGUGAUAAACCGGAGGAAGGUGGGGAUGACGUCAAGUCAUCAUGGCCCUUACGAGUAGGGCUACACACGUGCUACAAUGGCGCAUACAAAGAGAAGCGACCUCGCGAGAGCAAGCGGACCUCAUAAAGUGCGUCGUAGUCCGGAUUGGAGUCUGCAACUCGACUCCAUGAAGUCGGAAUCGCUAGUAAUCGUAAAUCAGAAUGUUACGGUGAAUACGUUCCCGGGCCUUGUACACACCGCCCGUCACACCAUGGGAGUGGGUUGCAAAAGAAGUAGAUAGCUUAACCUUCGGGAGGGCGUUUACCACUUUGUGAUUCAUGACUGGGGUGAAGUCGUAACAAGGUAGGCGUAGUGCU